rnacentral:rRNA from 1 species
UGCAAGUCGAGGGGCAGCGGGAUUGAGGCUUGCUUCAAUUGCCGGCGACCGGCGCACGGGUGAGUAACGCGUAUCCAACCUUCCGUACACUCAGGGAUAGCCUUUCGAAAGAAAGAUUAAUACCUGAUGGUAUGAUGAGAUUGCAUGAUAGCAUCAUUAAAGAUUCAUCGGUGUACGAUGGGGAUGCGUUCCAUUAGGUAGUAGGCGGGGUAACGGCCCACCUAGCCUACGAUGGAUAGGGGUUCUGAGAGGAAGGUCCCCCACAUUGGAACUGAGACACGGUCCAAACUCCUACGGGAGGCAGCAGUGAGGAAUAUUGGUCAAUGGACGAGAGUCUGAACCAGCCAAGUAGCGUGAAGGAUGAAGGUCCUACGGAUUGUAAACUUCUUUUAUAAGGGAAUAAAACCUCCCACGUGUGGGAGCUUGUAUGUACCUUAUGAAUAAGCAUCGGCUAACUCCGUGCCAGCAGCCGCGGUAAUACGGAGGAUGCGAGCGUUAUCCGGAUUUAUUGGGUUUAAAGGGAGCGCAGACGGGUCGUUAAGUCAGCUGUGAAAGUUUGGGGCUCAACCUUAAAAUUGCAGUUGAUACUGGCGUCCUUGAGUGCGGUUGAGGUGUGCGGAAUUCGUGGUGUAGCGGUGAAAUGCUUAGAUAUCACGAAGAACUCCGAUUGCGAAGGCAGCACACUAAGCCGUAACUGACGUUCAUGCUCGAAAGUGUGGGUAUCAAACAGGAUUAGAUACCCUGGUAGUCCACCCGGUAAACGAUGGAUACUCGCUGUUGGCGAUAUACUGUCAGCGGCUUAGCGAAAGCGUUAAGUAUCCCACCUGGGGAGUACGCC